rnacentral:rRNA from 1 species
UACAGAGGUCUCAAGCGUUGUUCGGAUUCAUUGGGCGUAAAGGGUGCGUAGGCGGCGCGGUAAGUCGGGUGUGAAAUCUUGGAGCUUAACUCCGAAACUGCAUUCGAUACUGCCGUGCUUGAGGACUGGAGAGGAGACUGGAAUUUACGGUGUAGCGGUGAAAUGCGUAGAUAUCGUAAGGAAGGCCAGUGGCGAAGGCGGGUCUCUGGACAGUUCCUGACACUGAGGCACGAAGGCCAGGGGAGCAAACGGG